rnacentral:lncRNA from 1 species
UUAGCCCUCUGCCCACAGUGAUCACUAACUGAUUGCUCCUCCUUAAAAGCCACCGAAAAGUGUGCUUGGCUGAUCUCCCUGACCUCAAUUUCUCUGCUGGCAGAAUCACAAGAAAGGCAUCAGCACCUUCUGUGAAAUGGGGAGCCAUGCAGAGGAGGUGCCCAGGUGGCGAGGAGUCCAUGUCAGCUGCCGUCAUCCACACCACAGAUCAGACAUGGCAAAGAGUGGCCAGGCCUUCUGAGUGAAGGUGAUCCAACCUGUCACCAAGCCUAAGGGCAAAUCCUGGCUGUGCUGUGAUGGCUCCAACAACCCCAAACAGCAGCGCAGAGGCUGCAGCCGCCCUCGGAGGCAACACUGGGAAACGCUCAUUAGCAGCCUUCCAUUGCUCACCCGCCCCAUCCCACCUCUGUGCAUCCCAGAUCAUCAGCGAAGUGCACAGCUGGCUUCCAUCCUCGGAGCCUUCCUCCUUCAUUUGCCUAUUCAACAGUUACAAAGGCCUGAGUUGCAAAGGGGCUUACAACCCAUUCCACCCAGAAGAAAGAGAACUGAGACUGAGCAAGACAGAGAAUAGGUGGAAGGGGAGAUGAAACCAAGCAAUCUCUAGAUCCCAAAUGGGGACCCUGAUGUAGCAAGAGCCUCUUUUAAAUCCUUUUCCAAUAGGGUAAUAUGGAAAAUAGUUGAAAGCACAAGCCAAGUGGGGCUGGAAUCCCAAAUGGGCCAUUUACUAGCUGUGUGACUGGACAAGUAAUUUCAUAUUUCUGGGCCUCGAUUUUUCUCAUCUGUAAAA